rnacentral:rRNA from 1 species
CCUACGGGAUGCAGCAUUGGGGAAUAUUGCACAAUGGGCGCAAGCCUGAUGCAGCCAUGCCGCGUGUAUGAAGAAGGCCUUCGGGUUGUAAAGUACUUUCAGCGGGGAGGAAGGUGUUGUGGUUAAUAACCACAGCAAUUGACGUUACCCGCAGAAGAAGCACCGGCUAACUCCGUGCCAGCAGCCGCGGUAAUACGGAGGGUGCAAGCGUUAAUCGGAAUUACUGGGCGUAAAGCGCAUGCAGGCGGCCUGUUAAGUCAGAUGUGAAAGCCCGGGGCUUAACCUGGGAACUGCAUUCGAAACUGGCAGGCUAGAGUCUUGUAGAGGGGGGUAGAAUUCCAGGUGUAGCGGUGAAAUGCGUAGAGAUCUGGAGGAAUACCGGUGGCGAAGGCGGCCCCCUGGACAAAGACUGACGCUCAGGUGCGAAAGCGUGGGGAGCAAACAGGAUUAGAUACCCCGGUAGUC